rnacentral:misc_RNA from 1 species
GGAUUCUAUAAACAUGACAUGUGCAAUUAAAUCUUAAUCAGUCUUUGGAAGUAGUUGGUUUUAACUUUCGUCAGUCUCUCAAGUUUCACAUUCAUAAUCAAGUAGUAGUCAGCUUUGAAAGUACACAAAUCAAAUGAUUUUUUAUUUUUCACUGUUAGACCUGUUUUAUUUUCCAUUUUGACCCUUCACAAUCACUCAAAAAAAUUCAAGAAGUUGAUGUGUAGCUUGUUUGAUAUUGACCCAAAUUAUGCGUUAGCUUCAAAUUUCAUAUACGGGUUUUGAUUAAUCAACCCAAUUAUCUUGUUGCAGAAUAUGCCUACACGCUCAAGG